GCUUAAAUGAGUAAUUGUAAUUCCUAAAUGUAUUUUCCACAUGUGAAUUAUCUCUGAGAAUAUUAUGCCUGAUAUAAGUUCUACUUCUAGAAAUCUGGAAAAUGGUGAAUAACUGUAACGAGUGUCUAUCACAUGGAUGCUGCACUGUAUGUAUUUUAAUAUUGAAAGACAUAUAUACCUGACAUUUGUGGUCAUGCUGUCUUUCCAUCCUCCUGUCUCUUUAACACUAGGCUUGGCAAGUACCAGAAGGCUCAUUGAGAUUUCCUGUGGUUUAUGACCCAAGUUGACAACUGUGACUUCUUCUUUGUGGCGUUCUGAUGGUUAUGUCGUAUAAGAAUCACCUUAUAUCAUUUGAGAAGCUGCUGACACGGAGCACUGGUUUGAUGGAUGACCUGAGCGGCUGCUGUUCCCAUCAGAGGUUUCCAUACUUCCACAUUUCACCUGAUAGAAGGACCAUCUUCCAUGAAUUCCAUGCAGCUGAUGUGAUGAUUUAGCCAAAUUCAACUUGGAGAUCCUACCAGAGGUCAACUUGAGCUAAGAUGGCAG
rnacentral:lncRNA from 1 species